UGAGGAAUAUUGGUCAAUGGGCGCAAGCCUGAACCAGCCAUCCCGCGUGCAGGAAGACGGCCCUAUGGGUUGUAAACUGCUUUUCCAGGGGGAGAAUUUUUCUGUCGUGACAGGAAUUGACGGUACCCUGGGAAUAACCAUCGGCUAACUCCGUGCCAGCAGCCGCGGUAAUACGGAGGAUGCGAGCGUUAUCCGGAUUUAUUGGGUUUAAAGGGUGCGUAGGCGGAUUGAUAAGUCAGUGGUGAAAACCUGCAGCUUAACUGUAGACUUGCCGUUGAUACUGUCAGUCUUGAGUGUGGUCAAGGUAGGCGGAAUGUGUAAUGUAGCGGUGAAAUGCUUAGAUAUUACACAGAACACCGAUUGCGAAGGCAGCUUACUGGGCCAUUACUGACGCUGAUGCACGAAAGCGUGGGGA
rnacentral:rRNA from 1 species